CGAGGGGAUGUCCAUUAAUACCGGACUAUUACGAGCCAAAAACCUAGCCCAACAAACAUGAAUUUUACC
rnacentral:tRNA from 1 species